rnacentral:rRNA from 1 species
GACGAACGCUGGCGGCGUGCCUAAUACAUGCAAGUUGAGCGAUGAAGCUUUGUGCUUGCACCCAUUUGAAGAGCAGCGAACGGGUGAGUAACGCGUGGGUAAUCUGCCUUUGAGCGGGGGACAACAUUUGGAAACGAAUGCUAAUACCGCAUAAUAACUUUAAACAUAAGUUUUAAGUUUGAAAGAUGCAAUUGCAUCACUCAAAGAUGAUCCCUCGUUGUAUUAGCUAGGUGGUUAGGUAAAGGCUCACCAAGGCGAGGAUACCUAGCCGACCGGAGAGGGUGGGUCGCCACAAUGGGACUGGGACACGGCCCAAACUCCCACGGGAGGCAGCAGGAGGGAAACGUCGGACAGGGAGGAAAGGCUGACCGAGCAACGCCGCGGGAGGGAAGAAGGUUGUCGGAUCGGAAAACUCUGUUGGUAGAGAAGAACGUGGGUGAGAGUGGAAAGCUCAUGAAGUGACGGUAACUACCCAGAAAGGAACGGCUAACUACGUG